rnacentral:rRNA from 1 species
AUGCACGCUGGCGGCGUGCCUCAUCCCUGCAAGUCGCGCGAACAGACGAGGAGCUUGCUCCUCUGACGUUAGCGGCGGACGGGUGAGUAACACGUGGAUAACCUACCUAUAAGACUGGGAUAACUUCGGGAAACCGGAGCUAAUACCGGAUAAUAUAUUGAACCGCAUGGUUCAAUAGUGAAAGACGGUUUUGCUGUCACUUAUAGAUGGAUCCGCGCCGCAUUAGCUAGUUGGUAAGGUAACGGCUUACCAAGGCGACGAUGCGUAGCCGACCUGAGAGGGUGAUCGGCCACACUGGAACUGAGACACGGUCCAGACUCCUACGGGAGGCAGCAGUAGGGAAUCUUCCGCAAUGGGCGAAAGCCUGACGGAGCAACGCCGCGUGAGUGAUGAAGGUCUUCGGAUCGUAAAACUCUGUUAUUAGGGAAGAACAAAUGUGUAAGUAACUAUGCACGUCUUGACGGUACCUAAUCAGAAAGCCACGGCUAACUACGUG